rnacentral:rRNA from 1 species
GAGGCUUUUGGCCAGAUAGACUACACAUUUCUCAAUGAUUGACCUCGGAUCAGGUAGGGAUACCCGCU